rnacentral:rRNA from 1 species
UACGUGGGGUGCAAGCGUUAUCCGGAUUUACUGGGCGUAAAGCGUACCGUCGGUGUUUUGGUAAGUUCUGUGUUUAAGCCUGGGGCUCAACUCCAGAAAAGCACCGAAUACUGCCAGAAUUGAGUUUGUUCGGGGGAGUUGGAAUUCUCGGUGGAGGGGUGAAAUCCGUAGAUAUCGAGAGGAACGCCAUACGCGAAGGCAGACUCCUAGGACACAACUGACACUCAGGGACGACAGCUUGGGGAGCAAAAGGG